CCCACCCCCCGGCCACCCGCACGCCUCCUCCCACUCCCCUCGCCUUUCUGGGGGCUGUGCGCAGAUCUAAGUAGGUAUCCCCUUCUCCCUCCGCGGUUUUCAUCUGGGAUCUGGGGCUGUGAGUCCAGUAACCGGCACCACCUCAGGCGGCUAUGAGGACCGGGGAAAAAGCUACAGGUUCUUCCUGGAGGUGGGGUGGAUCUGGGCAGCCCGGGAAAGAGGUCAUCCUGCUGUGUGAUGUUCAGAGAGGACUUUCCCUCUCUGGACCUUAUUUUCCCCUGAGGAUGCUCUGGCUGGCUGGAGGCCCAGCAAUCCAGAGUAGGUGCUGGGUGGCCGGAGUUGGGUCUCAGCAGGAAAAGAUAUGAAGGAAUAAAUGUAGUGUGCAUGAAGUGGGACAAGGCAGGGGACCUCUGAAAUAUGUAGGCACAGUGGGGAGCAGAAGGGGGAGGGAGAGGGAACAGAUGGGGGUGGGGGCCCCUCCCCAGGCUGGGCCACCUCUAUUUACAUAACUGGAUUCAUAAGAGGUAAACAGAGCAGGAACUGGAAACGAGGGGCCCGGGCCUUGCCACACAGCAGUCUGGGAGCCCCGGGACUGAGGAAGGCGCCUGCCCUCUGCUGAGUCCUUAAGUGUCCUGGUGGGGGUGGCACCCCCAGAGCUGUGCUGGCUCCUGUGCUCCAGGGCAGGCGGAGUGGGGGACACCCUCUGCCUGCUUCUCCCCCCACCCUCAGAACAUGGGUGCCACGUGCCUGCACUGUGGGUUCUCAGUUCAGGCAUUUGACCAGGGGCUAUGGAGCUGGUCACGCCCACAAGGCCGGGCUCCUGCCACCCCGGGAGACCAGACAGACGCCCCACCCUCGUGUUCUGCGGGGGAGGUGAUGAUAAGUACCAGGGGCGGCCAGCCUGGGUGGUGCUGGAAGGAGGGGCCCGGGCUUGGUAAGGGGGCGCGUGAGGGCACAGAAAAUGUGGGACGGCAGGAACAGAGGCAGAGGGAAAGGGAUGGCGGCCUGGACAGAGCCCAGUGGGGGUUACAGGGCAGAGGCUCCCCGGCUCCUCAGGGGUGUUAGUACAGGCCUUUUGAUACCAUUUUGUGUCUGGGUUUUCUCACCACAGCUUGUGACGUGAGCAUUCCCAUAUUGAUAAGGGGUCCUCUAAACAUCGUUGUGCCCAGGCACCUAGUGUUCUCUUGUGUGGGGCUGUCAGGUUUCACUCAACCCUUCACAGGCUCUGGGAGUCAACAAGGGGAUGAGCCGUCACCUCAGCGAGCGGGCAUCAACCUGCACCCUGGUCCUUGCUCUUGGAUGUGAAGGAAAAGCCGAGAACCACCGGGCAGCUGGAGAGCUGGCGGCGAGCCGGCUGGGCAGACGGCGCAGGGGGCGCCUUCUUCCUUUGGGUUGGGUGGUUGUUUGCUUGGCACGUGCGCCCGGUUUCUCCAACACUGUUCCAACACUGAGAAGACUACCUUUUCUUCAUCGAGUUACUCUAGCCCCUUCAUGGAAAAUCGCCUGACGGUUUAUGCUGUAGGUCUAUUUCUGGACUCUUCUCCUGCAGUGAUCUCUGUGUCCGUGUUGACACCAAUACUGCUCUCCUGUGAAGACUUCUUGAGGCUAGCUUUACGACCUAGCUGUGAAAGAAAUGGAAUGUUCUGGGCGCAUCCAGUUGUUAAAUGCAAUGUAGUCUGGAUGCCUGUCCAUUAAAUUAAGAUUUUAAGCUAUUUUCUGCAAAUGUUGGUUUUUUUUUUUUACUUUUAUCUUCUUGAUCUAUCAAUUACUAAAGAUUGAUACUAUGAUGGUGGAUUUAUUUAUUUGUUUAUUUCUCCUUACAUUUUGUCAAUUUUUGCUUUGUAUAUUUAGAAGUUUGUUAUGUGCAUACAAAUAUAGAAUUGUUUUAGCCGCUUAAAAAGAUGCUAUUGUUUCAUAGCAUAUCUUAAAAUCGGGUAAACUGAGUUCUCCAACUUUAUUCUUUUUGAAAGAUGUUUGGGCAUUGUAGGUUCACGGCCUCUUCAUUUGAAUAUUAAAACAGUUUGUCAGUUGCUACAAAAAACCUACUAAGAUUUUGAUUGAGAUCCAGUUGAAUCUAUAGAUCAAUAUGAGGAGAACGGACAUCUUGACAACGUUGAAUCUUCCAACCCACGACCAAGAUUCUCCGAGUUUUUCUAUGGAGAUGACCGUGUGGUCUAUGAGAAAGCAGUUUCUCUUCCUUUGCUGUCUGUGGGCCUUUCCUUGUGUUCUGGCGACUUGCACGGCGGGUCCUGACCUGCCGCACGAUGUUCCACAGAGGCGGCAAGAGCCAAGUCCUUCCUUUCUCCCACUCCUGGGGGAGAAGCAUUCAGUUUCUCACCGUGCAGUAUGAAGUUAUUCACAGCUCUUUAUCAGUUUGAGAAUGUCCGCCAUCCAUUCCCAGUUUGCUGAGAGUUUUUUCUUUUUUCAUCAUGAACGGAUGUUGAGUUUUAUCAAAUGUCUUUUGUUUUUGAUUUUUCUUUCUUGCUCUAUUGCUGUGGGGAAUUACACUGAUUUCCAAAUGUUAGGCCUGCCUUGCAUUCCUGGGAUAAAUUUCGCUUGGUCGUGAAGUAUUCUCCUUUUUAUAUAUUUCUGGAUUUGAUUUGCUAACAUUUUGUUAAAGAUUUUUGCAUUUAUGUUCACUAAGGAUAUUAGUGUGUAAUUUUAUUUUCUUGUAACAAGAAGAUUGCCUGGUUUAUGCUAUCAGGAUAAUGCUGGUCUCAUAAAAUGAGCUGGAAAGUCUUCCUUCCUCCUCUAUUUUCUGGAAGUCUGUAUAGACGCGGUGUCAUUACUUCCUUAGAUGUUGGUAGAAUUCGCCAGUGAGCGUCUGGGCCUGGAGCUGUCUUUGUGGGGAGGCUGUUAAUUACAGAUUCAGUUUCUUUAA